rnacentral:tRNA from 1 species
GCCGUCCUAGCUCAGUUGGUAGAGUACACCCUUGGUAAGGGUGAGGUCGGGGGUUCAAUCCCCCCGGACGGCACCA